rnacentral:lncRNA from 1 species
CAACAAAAAUAUUUUCAAACGGGUUUCCCCCAUAGUGCAGCAUUGAAACAGAGUUACUGUGAAUACAGAAGACUGUCUAUCCCACAGCAGGCAAUGCAAUUAAAGACUUCAGAGAAUGCCAGAUUUUUCAGAAUGCAUCAUAGAAUUUUCAAAGCUGUAAGAAAGAGGUGAGGAUGCUGAGAUGUAGAGAGACUGAUUUGCUCAAGAUAACAAAGAGUUUUAUUGAUUUGGGAACCCAUGGAAGGGGGUCAGCUGUGAGAUAUCACAUGAUCAGACUGACUGCCUGACCAGACUGACUGCCAUCCUGUUAAAGGAAUGAAUCACAGUUCAUCUCGCAGAUUUAUGGCAUGCCUACAGAAAAAGUACCUUAUGAUGCAAACCUGAAAGUUUAAAUAAUCUCCUGAAAGUUCCACAAUCAGCUGCAGAGAACUCCAGGAGCUGUUUUUAAAGAAGAUUAAGUUUUCAGCUUUCCUCCACUGUUUUGGGAAACGUCACCUUCUUAUCUUGGAAGAGUAAUCUCAAAAUUGAAGCAUCUUAGAUCCAACAAGAAUUAAAAGGAUGGGAAGUCCUUGCAGCCAUCCAAUAGAGUCAGAAGACUUUGGAUUUUGGAGUCUGUGAGAUGAUGUACUCACAUCCCAACAAAUUGAAAAUGCUGACCAAUCCCAGCACAGCCAACUCGAAUUUGCUCCUUCAUCAAAGUGACCAGCACCUCAUUUCUUCCUCUUUAGAAUUUAUAGAGUCCUAUGGCUAUUGAUAUCUAACAUCCUGGCUUCACUCACAUGGAUGAGCCCCACCUGGAAUGCCUAGAAGACGUGGGACAGCUGGAUCUCUCUCCACACGGUUUUUCAUUGUUGCCUCAGGUUCCAAUAAAAGCAAAAGCUGCAAGGUCUUCUGAGGCAAAGACUUAGAAAUACCACAAUGUUACUUCUGCUGCAUUCUGUUGAUAAAAGAAUCCCACAAUGCCAGCUUCAUUUAAAGGGGUAAAGAUAUAGAUUAUUCACCUUCGAUGGGAGGAACUGCAAAUGAUGUAAUUAGUGAUAAUUUUUAAUAUACUGUAAUGUAUUGACUUAUCUUUAAAAAAUGAAAAAAUAAACCAAAAACUAAAAGCAAAACAAAACUAUAAUAGAAAACAAUUGCUUCUGGAGGAGGAAUGCAAUGGGGAAAAGGUUAUAGAAACAAAAGCUACAUUUUAUUUGAAUAUACCUGUUUUAGGUUUGACCCUGGUAACAUUUGAUAUUUUACAUAAUUAUAUCAUUAUUUAAAAUUAAAUUUUAAAACACCAAUACCCAUAACAGAAAAGUUUGAUAAAAGAGGUGAAAUAUAAAUAUAAAUAUAUUAAGUUUGCAUUAUAAUCACACAGAGAUGAAUUGUGUCAGUUACUCAAACACAGAUAUUUGACUAUACAACCUUUAUAAGAUAUCCUAAGGACAAAAAAACAUGCAAAAAUAUAUAUUGAACUGUUUUAAAAUUAUAUUUUUUUGCAAUUGAAUUGUUAUUGUGAGACAGGUGUGUACAUAUUUUAAGAUCAAGCAAGUUAGUAAGCUUGUUGACAUUAUUGUAAAUGGGAUUUGUCCCAUGGGGUAAAGAAGAUAUAAUAGCAAGUAGAAGAAAAUAAAUGAAAACCCAUUAAUAUGAGUUUGAAGUUAAAGUAUCAGUAUGAAGUCAUGAAGCAUUUUCCCAACAAAAAGAAAAAAAUAGUUUCCUAGUUCUAAUCACUUAAAAGUAUAUAGAAACAACAUAAAACUCAAUAUCAAGAGGAAAUGUAACUCAGAUGUGCUCUGUAGACAUUUCCCCUAAAAGGAGUUGAAGUUCAUUGCAAACAAGUAUCUAAUUCCAGCUUGGGGUUUGAAUAUUGUACAAGAUGGGCCUGGAAUAUCAAAUUCUCUUACUAAAAAGCAAGGCAGAUUUGAAAGACUAUUAGGAUGCAUCAAAGAGACUCAGAGGAGUCACCCUGAAGAGGUUACCAUUGGCCAAAGGUAAAAAUUUGAGAAUCAAUAAGAAAAUCAAAGGCAGUAGAUUAAAAUGCCUCAAAUAUGCUUAAAUCUAUCUGUUCCUAAUAAUGUUAAUUUAAAAAUAAUGUUGUCAUUGGACAGCUUUGAAGAAUGUUAGGGAUCCAUAAGAAUGUACAGUUUUGAAUUAAAGAGAAGAAUUGAGCAUUUAUCCUGUUUUUCCUUUAUGGAUUAUGUCUAAGGAUAACCAAAUGUUGAUGACAGAAAAUCCUUUUUAAAGAUACCUUUAGCCAAAGAAUGAAGAAAGAAUGAUAGAAUUGAAAUGUUACCAUUUUUGCAACCCCUAAUGAAAUAAUGAAUCUAGCCAGUUGUUAUCAAUUGUUGCUAACAUAAAAAAUGAGAGACAAACAGACACGCCUCUUCAUAGAAGUAUAUGAUACCACCUAUAAAAUAUUACUGCCAGAAAAAAAAAUCAAACUUUGGAUCUAAUUACCAAUUAGAUCAGCCUUUAGCUCUAACAACCAAUUUGCAAUAUUUACAGGAGAUACAGGAGCAUGUUGAAUGACACCAUAAAAAGGCAAUCAGUAAAAUUUAGUUUAUUAUAAACUAUAUAGGAUAAGUGAUCCAGUUGCUGCAAUAAAUAUAUUACAGAAGGUGUGUAUUGGCGGGUGGGAGAUAAAGGAGCAAUCUAUAGAUAAAAACAGACUUAAGGGACAUAAAAACAACUUUAAUGUAUGGAUCUUAUUUGGAUCCUUAAGAAAACAAAUUGUAAAGUAGCAUGAGACAUUUGAAGAAAAUAGAAAUAGUUUUUAAGUGUGGUAAUGAUAUCGUGGUUAUACGUUGUUAAAGAAUGCCUUUAGAGGUAAAUACAGAAAUAUUUGCAGAUGAACUAAAAUGAUGUCUAGAAUUUACAUAAAAGUAAUCCUGUAGGGAGAGUGAAGAAGUGGAAAGAGUGGAUAUUGAUAGGCAAGAGUAGCUAUAAUUUGACCACUGCUGAAUGUUGUUGAUGGAUAAAUGAAAAUGUAUUAUAUAUUUUUUUACUUAUAUAUUUGAAGAUUUUGAUUUUUAAUAAAGUGAAGCUGAGAAAGGGAAAAUCAUUUUUCUUGAUGUCAGGCUUUGAACAGAGAUAAAAGUAAAACCACUGUAGACCAAAGUGGAAAAAUAAAAAGCAAACAUAAACUUUUAUGCUUUCAGCUCUCUAUUACUGGCUUGUAUUUUUUUUUUAAUCUUUAUUUUAAGUUCCAGGGUACAUGU